ACUACAGGAUCUCUAUUCUCCUCCUGUUGUAAACAACAUUGCUGCAUUUUGGUGAAAGAAGAGAGCAAGCCUUGGUUUUUUGCUUCCUCACAAAUACACAGUGCCUCAAUAUACAGUUCCAUUUGCCUUU